GACGAACGCUGGCGGCGUGCUUAACACAUGCAAGUCGAACGGAAAGGCCCUGCUUUUGUGGGGUGCUCGAGUGGCGAACGGGUGAGUAACACGUGAGUCACCUGCCCUCGACUUUGGGAUAACUUCAGGAAACUGGGGCUAAUACCGGAUAGGAGCUCCUGCUGCAUGGUGGGGGUUGGAAAGUUUCGGCGGUUGGGGAUGGACUCGCGGCUUAUCAGCUUGUUGGUGGGGUAGUGGCUUACCAAGGCUUUGACGGGUAGCCGGCCUGAGAGGGUGACCGGCCACACUGGGACUGAGAUACGGCCCAGACUCCUACGGGAGGCAGCAGUGGGGAAUAUUGCACAAUGGGCGGAAGCCUAAUGCAGCAACGCCGCGUGCGGGAUGACGGCCUUCGGUUUGUAAACCGCUUUCGCCUGUGACGAAGCGUGAGUGACGGUAAUGGGUAAAGAAGCACCGGCUAACUACGUG
rnacentral:rRNA from 1 species